rnacentral:rRNA from 1 species
GACGAACGCUGGCGGCGUGCUUAACACAUGCAAGUCGAACGGAAAGGCCCUGCUUUUGUGGGGUGCUCGAGUGGCGAACGGGUGAGUAACACGUGAGUAACCUGCCCUUGACUUUGGGAUAACUUCAGGAAACUGGGGCUAAUACCGGAUAGGAGCUCCUGCUGCAUGGUGGGGGUUGGAAAGUUUCGGCGGUUGGGGAUGGACUCGCGGCUUAUCAGCUUGUUGGUGGGGUAGUGGCUUACCAAGGCUUUGACGGGUAGCCGGCCUGGGAGGGUGACCGGCCACAUUGGGACUGAGAUAGGGACCAGACGCCUACGGGAGGCAGCAGUGGGGAGUAUUGCACAAUGGGCGGGAGCCUGAUGCAGCAACGCCGCGUGCGGGAUGACGGCCUUCGGGUUGUAAACCGCUUUCGCCUGUGACGAAGCGUGAGUGACGGUAAUGGGUAAAGAAGCACCGGCUAACUACGUG